AUACGGAGGGUGCAAGCGUUAAUCGGAAUUACUGGCCGUAAAGCGUACGUACGCGGUUCGUUAAGUUAGAUGUGAAAGCCCCGGGCUUAACCUGGGAACUGCAUUUAAAACUGGCGAACUAGAGUUGAGUAGAGGGGAGUGGAAUUUCAGGUGUAGCGGUGAAAUGCGUAGAGAUCUGAAGGAACACCAGUGGCGAAGGCGACUCCCUGGACUCAAACUGACGCUGAGGUACGAAAGCGUGGGUAGCAAACGGGAUUAGAAACCCCAGUAGUCC
rnacentral:rRNA from 1 species